AAUUUUUAAUUUUCUCCUCAGAAUGCCUGCCUUGCUUCAGCAACACAGCAGGAGGGAAGAAACAAGAAGUUUUCUGGAAGACAGGAGUUGCUGAAAGGCAUUUGAGUCUGACUACAUUGUUUUAGUUGUGUACUUGGCAAUUUAGAGGAAGUAAUGAGACCUCCUGUGAAAUGAGGAAGCUGAAUUCCAGCGAGCUUUAGACAAGAGAUCUGCGUUCAGCACUACAGAAAUGAGUCAGCAC